GUUAGGAUGGCACAGCCCGGCUACUGCAAAAGAUCUAAACCCUUUAUUCAGAGGUUCAAAUCCUCUUCCUAACU
rnacentral:tRNA from 1 species